GGGUCAGUAGGUUGGUCGUGCCACCGGUACGUACUGGUCUCACUGAUUCCUCCUUCCUGAAGAACCGUAAUGCCAUUAAUUUGGUGUUGCGGGGAAACAGGACUGUUACUUUGAAAAACUUAGAGUGUUUAAAGCAAGCUAACGCUUGAAUACAUUAGCAUGGAAUAAUGAAAUAGGACGAUCGAUCCUAUUUUCUUGGUUUCUAGGAUUGACGUA
rnacentral:rRNA from 1 species